rnacentral:lncRNA from 1 species
GCUUCUUUUGUGAAUGGGGGGGGGCAUCCUGCAUGACUCUACGAUGAAACAAGACAGUACAGGUUGUAUGAGGGCUGGGCUGAAAGCUUCAGGGAUUUCAUUUAACUAAUGUUUUUGAAAGGUUAAUAGCUAGAAGAGUUCUUGUAAGACACAUCUAAGUAAACUAUGGGAAAGAAGUGUAUGUUAUUUGUGACAUUAAUUCCUAAUCCACGGCACAAUGAGUCACUUAUUCACCAGAGAAGAAUCUAACCUAUUUGGGAAAUGGAACUUUCUGAAUAUUAACCACCAUCUAUCCCCGGGAGAAAGUGAUAACCGGAACACAAAAACAGAGCUUGUCCCCUCGGUGGUAAAGAAGAAAAGUACGAGGAGCUUUGUGCUGGAGCUCAAAUUCAAUUCUUCCUCAAACCUUAACCUCUUGCCUACCAGGUGA